GUUUGACCUCGGAUCAGGUAGGGUUACCCGCUGAACUUAAGCAUAUCAAUAAGCGGAGGAAAAGAAACCAACAGGGAUUG
rnacentral:rRNA from 1 species